UUUGGGAGAAGCCUAGAUAUUCUUAGAACGCUGUUCGCUACCCAGCCACAGCCGACAGGAGGUCGGGUGAGAUGCCACCGCACACGGAUGUGCGAUUGGCAUCGUUGGCGGAAAGCUGUUAAAUAUUACUCAGAGUUCUUAGAAUAUCUUAGCUUCGUACAAC
rfam:Firmicutes bacterium CAG:882 genomic scaffold, scf254